rnacentral:rRNA from 1 species
GACGAACCGUGCGAACGUUGUUCGGAUUCACUGGGCUUAAAGGGCGCGUAGGUGGGCCGCCAAGUCAGGGGUGAAAUCCCGCAGCUCAACUGCGGAAGUGCCUUUGAUACUGGCGGCCUCGAGGGAGGUAGGGGCAUGCGGAACUUCCGGUGGAGCGGUGAAAUGCGUAGAUAUCGGAAGGAACGCCGGUGGCGAAAGCGGCGUGCUGGACCUCUUCUGACGCUGAGGCGCGAAAGCCAGGGGAGCAAACGGG